rnacentral:tRNA from 1 species
GCCUUUGUGGCGUAGUAGUCAGGACGCUCGAAACGACACCGAGAGGUCCGUGGUUCGAUUCCCGGCGAGGGCA